rnacentral:lncRNA from 1 species
GGCACUUCAGUUUUUGCAUGGCCUUGGUCUUAUACACUGUGAUUUGAAGCCUGAGAAUAUAUUGGUGAAAAGCUAUAGUAGAUGUGAGGUGAAAGUCAUUGAUCUUGGGAGUAGCUGUUUUGAGACAGAUCAUCUGUGCUCCUAUGUUCAAUCCAGGUCGUAUCGUGCACCAGAAGUUAUCCUAGGACUUCCGUAUGAUAAGAAGAUAGAUGUUUGGUCACUUGGCUGCAUUUUGGCAGAGCUUUGCACUGGCAAUGUAAGUUUUUCCCAUUACUAAUUUACCCAAUAAGUUUCAUGCCCUGGAGGAAAUUGUAAGAAUAGCAGGGGCGUGGUGCUAUGUAUUUGUUGUCUAUGCAUCUGUUUAUCUCAUUGUCUUUGUACAACUUUUGUAGUCUUUUCUUCCUUUCCUUUCUAUUUGGUUUUUUUAACUAAGCCAAGGUGCUCCAUAUGCAUGCAGAGGUAGAGUUCCAUAUAAUUUCCCAAUCAAUGAGUGAAUGCACAAGUUACUUUGAGUAUGAAAGAGAUUUCUUCAUAAACAUUUUGGAUCCCUUUCUUUCGCUGAAAAUUACUGAUUUGUCACAUAAAUAUGUGGGAGAGUUAUCCAUGAGGAAAUAUGCCAAAGCAACCAUACAUGGAGUUUUAUUUUAAUUUCCCAACUUAUGGAGAAUGCAUAAAGACUACUUGCUGAAGAAUGAUAUCACACGCAUGCAUAUAAUUACUAGGACUUGUCAUAUAAAACUGAAGAAUAUAUUCCUUGAGGGACUUGGCCAAAAGACAGUGGUCAUUGUGUUUUAUGAAUUGAGAUGGUUUUGUGUGAAGAUAGUUUGUCAAACGUACUUUGUGAGGUGAAAACCUUGUAGAGCUUUUUAGGGAGCAGAACAUAGUAUACGUGACUAAGUUAGAAAAGGUUUUGUUUAGACCAUUAGUUUUGGAGAUUUGGGAAGCUAGAGAGUAUGUUUCAAGGUGAAAAGGUUGGGAUAUGAGAACAUAGUUCUGAAAUGCAAAAGAUAGGAAAGAACAAUGGAAUUAAUGCUGACAAGCAGGUGCAGCUGAGGUUCUGAAAAUCACAUAGAGAGAGAGAGAGAGAGAGAGCUAUAUUUCUUCCUAAAUUUCUUCUUCUUUUUAUGGCUGCAUACAUAUUUUUGGUAUUCUUAUCAAUUUAAAUGUCACCCUCAUAUUGAUGUUGUGAUGCAUUUAUUUAUUUAUUCUGUCCAUGGGGGAAACAUCUUUAUAUUCUGAUCAAUUGAACCUCAACAUAUAUUUCUUUCAGAGAUAUACUUGAGUAGUUUCUGUAAGGGCUAAUCGAUCUGGAGAUCUUUUCUUCUGCUUGAACAAUUUUCUAACACCAUUUGAAGCGAGGAUGCUUUGGACCUUCCAUAAUUUGGUUUCCUAGCUGUUUCCGUGGUACCAUUUGGCUAAAAUGAAACUUCUGUUUCAGGUCCUAUUCCAAAAUGAUUCACCAGCAACGUUACUUGCACGAGUUAUUGGAAUUAUAGGUCCCAUUGAUCAAAACAUGCUAGCAAAGGGACGAGAUACAUACAAGUAUUUUACCAAGAAUCACAUGCUUUAUGAGCGAAAUCAGGUAAACAUUCUUUUGUUUCGCUACUUCUCUAUUGCUCCUCGUAUGAAAUUAAUUGUGCGUAUCCCCUCUGUCCGGUGAUGUAGUUGCUUGUAGUUUUUAGAGUUCAAAAAUUACUAUUAGGAUGUCAAACUUUAAAUCUGGAUAUGAUAUGUUUGGUUUGUGCUAAUAUUUUAUAUUCUCUCUAAUCUUCAGGAUACUAGCAGGCUGGAGUACCUGAUACCUAAGAAGACAUCCCUGAGGCACCGUUUGCCAAUGGGGGACCAGGGCUUCAUUGACUUUGUUUCUCAUUUGCUUGAAGUAAACCCAAAGAAACGCCCUUCUGCAUCUGAGGCUCUGAAGCACCCAUGGCUAUCAUACCCUUAUGAGCCCAUAUCAGCUUGAACUG